rnacentral:rRNA from 1 species
GACGAACGCUGGCGGCGUGCUUAACACAUGCAAGUCGAGCGGUAAGGCCCUUUCGGGGGUACACGAGCGGCGAACGGGUGAGUAACACGUGGGUGACCUGCCCUUAGCUCUGGGAUAAGCCUGGGAAACUGGGUCUAAUACCGGAUAUGACUCCAUGACGCAUGUUGUGGGGUGGAAAGCCUUGUGCGGCUAGGGAUGGGCCCGCGGCCUAUCAGCUUGUUGGUGGGGUGAUGGCCUACCAAGGCGACGACGGGUAGCCGGCCUCGAGAGGGCGACCGGCCACACUGGGACUGAGACACGGCCCAGACUCCUACGGGAGGCAGCAGUGGGGAAUCUUGCGCAAUGGGCGAAAGCCUGACGCAGCGACG